rnacentral:rRNA from 1 species
AGUGAACGCUGGCGGUAGGCCUAACACAUGCAAGUCGAACGGCAGCACAGUAAGAGCUUGCUCUUACGGGUGGCGAGUGGCGGACGGGUGAGGAAUACAUCGGAAUCUACUUUUUCGGGGGGGAUAACGUAGGGAAACUUACGCUAAUACCGCAUACGACCUACGGGUGGAAGCAGGGGAUCUUCGGACUUUGCGCGAUUGAUUGAGCCGAUGUCGGAUUAGCUAGUUGGCGGGGUAAAGGCCCACCAAGGCGACGAUCCGUAGCUGGUCUGAGAGGAUGAUCAGCCACACUGGAACUGAGACACGGUCCAGACUCCUACGGGAGGCAGCAGUGGGGAAUAUUGGACAAUGGGCGCAAGCCUGAUCCAGCCAUACCGCGUGGGUGAAGAAGGCCUUCGGGUUGUAAAGCCCUUUUGUUGGGAAAGAAAAGCAGCAGGUUAAUACCCCGCUGUUCUGACGGUACCCAAAGAAUAAGCACCGGCUAACUUCGUG